AAAAUAGUGGCUAUGGGUGAUCCUGUACCAUUGAGUGAGCUUUUAGCAGCUGGUCCAGGGGCUUAUUGGAAAGUAGCACAAGUAACUUCUGAGCUGGUUUCUAAAUCAAAUGACAAUGGUAGAGAUGUGGACAAUUUUGGAGGUUCAGAUACUUCUGCUAGGCAGUCAAAAGAAGUUCCAUCAGAUAAGAAAGAAAAUCAGAUCACUAACCAUGGGAAGUCACCUACUUUUAGAGACAUAUCUAGUGAGGACCAUGGGAGAUUGUUAGAUGUUGUCUCUGGCUCUGGUGCAGCCAUUGCAAAGGACGCCAAAGGGCAAAAGGGCCGCAAG
rnacentral:misc_RNA from 1 species